GGCGUAAAGAGCUCGUAGGUGGUUUGAUACGUCGGGUGUGAAAUUCAGGGGCUCAACCCCUGACCUGCAUUCGAUACGGUCAAGCUAGAGUUUGGUAGGGGAGACUGGAAUUCCUGGUGUAGCGGUGGAAUGCGCAGAUAUCAGGAGGAACACCGAUGGCGAAGGCAGGUCGCUGGGCCAAUACUGACACUGAGGAGCGAAAGCGUGGGGAGCGAACAGGAUUAGAUACCCUGGUAGUCCACGCCGUAAACGGUGGGCGCUAGUUGUGCGAACCUUCCACGGUUUGUGCGACGCAGCUAACGCAUUAAGCGCCCCGCCUGGGGAGUACGAUCGCAAGAUUAAAACUCAAAGGUAUUGACUGGGCCCCGCACAAGCAGCGGAGCAUGCGGCUUAAUUCGACGCAACGCGAAGAACCUUACCAAGGCUUGACAUAUACAGGAAUACGGCAGAGAUGUCGUAGCGGUUAAACGUCUGUAUACAGGUGGUGCAUGGUUGUCGUCAGCUCGUGUCGUGAGAUGUUGGGUUAAGUCCCGCAACGAGCGCAACCCUCGUUCUGUGUUGCCAGCAUUUAGUUGGGGACUCACAGGAGACUGCCGGGGUUAACUCGGAGGAAGGUGGGGAUGACGUCAAAUCAUCAUGCCCCUUAUGUCUUGGGCUGCACGCAUGCUACAAUGGCUGGUACAAAGGGCUGCAAUACUGCAAAGUGGAGCGAAUCCCAAAAAGCCAGUCUCAGUUCGGAUUGGGGUCUGCAACUCGACCCCAUGAAGUCGGAGUUGCUAGUAAUCGUAGAUCA
rnacentral:rRNA from 1 species